rnacentral:rRNA from 1 species
UACAGAGGGGGCAAGCGUUGUUCGGAAUUACUGGGCGUAAAGGGCGCGUAGGCGGCCUGCUAAGUCGAACGUGAAAUCCCCGGGCUCAACCCGGGAACUGCGUCCGAUACUGGCAGGCUUGAAUCCGGGAGAGGUGAGUGGAACUGCGAGUGUAGAGGUGAAAUUCGUAGAUAUUCGCAAGAACACCAGUGGCGAAGGCGGCUCACUGGCCCGGUACUGACGCUGAGGUGCGAAAGCGUGGGGAGCAAACAGG